rnacentral:rRNA from 1 species
UAAAGAGCUCGUAGGCGGCUUGUCGCGUCGGUUGUGAAAGCCCGGGGCUUAACCCCGGGUCUGCAGUCGAUACGGGCAGGCUAGAGUUCGGUAGGGGAGAUCGGAAUUCCUGGUGUAGCGGUGAAAUGCGCAGAUAUCAGGAGGAACACCGGUGGCGAASGCGGAUCUCUGGGCCGAUACUGACGCUGAGGAGCGAAAGCGUGCGGAGCGAACAGGAUUAGAUACCCUGGUAGUCCACGCCGUAAACGGUGGGCACUAGGUGUGGGCAACAUUCCACGUUGUCCGUGCCGCAGCUAACGCAUUAAGUGCCCCGCCUGGCGAGUACGGCCGCAAGGCUARAACUCAAAGGAAUUGACGGKGGCCCGCACAAGCGGCGGAGCAUGUGGCUUAAUUCGACGCAACGCGAAGAACCUUACCAAGGCUUGACAUACACCGGAAAGCAUCAGAGAUGGUGCCCCCCUUGUGGUCGGUGUACAGGUGGUGCAUGGCUGUCGUCAGCUCGU